GGGGCCGUAGCUCAGGGGGAGAGCGCUUCCUUGGCAUGGAAGAGGUCGCGGGUUCAAAUCCCGCCGGCUCCACCA
rnacentral:tRNA from 1 species